ACAUAGUAAAAAAAAAAAAAAAGGCUUUAUAAAAUGCAAGGGGUUGGGAAAUGGGCCACAGGACUCAGCACGACAGAUGGACUUUUUAGAGUGAAAUUGAGCCGAAAGUCAGAGUUCCUGUAGACCUCUGCCGUACUCAUCAAUAUCCCCUACCAAAAUCUAUAAAAAUUGAUGAGUCCACAUGGACUCAUUAGCACGCAAAGUCCCUAGUUAGGAUCCUCUGGCUACAUUCCUUAGACAAUGAGCCUGGCCGGUCUUUGUAUGUUGAUUGUGACACUUAGGGUCCUUAGAACCCUGUGUGAUGGGCACUAUCAUCUCUGACAGACAGGGGAACAGGAAUUCCAAGCCAUUUGCUGAUUGAGAAGUAGAAAAGGCCAGAUGGGGACGUCAAGGACAGUCUGACCAGAAGCCUUUACCCAGGAUGCUGAGCUUGGAGAGGUACUCAGAGACAUCCUACAUCAGUGCCCUAAACAUCACACUAGCAACAUUAUCACUUCAUCCCCACUGAGGAAGGAACGUGGGUACAUUCAGGGGGAGACUGCCCAGUGACCUUAGCUGACAUCUUUCAAUACAGAAAUGGUUUUGUUGGUAAGUAUGCACAUACUUAUCUUAUCAUUCCUUAUACAGAGCUAGGAUACAACUCAACUAUCUAUCCAUAUACAUUUAUGUAAUACAUAUACACAUAUAUUUACACGAGAAAAACGAAAAUAUUGUCUUUGGACUAUCCAAAAAAGAGAGAGAGAAAACAAUCUGCUUAAAG
rnacentral:lncRNA from 1 species